rnacentral:rRNA from 1 species
GAUGAACGCUGGCGGCGUGCCUAAUACAUGCAAGUCGAGCGAACGGACGAGAAGCUUGCUUCUCUGAUGUUAGCGGCGGACGGGUGAGUAACACGUGGAUAACCUACCUAUAAGACUGGGAUAACUUCGGGAAACCGGAGCUAAUACCGGAUAAUAUUUUGAACCGCAUGGUUCAAAAGUGAAAGACGGUCUUGCUGUCACUUAUAGAUGGAUCCGCGCUGCAUUAGCUAGUUGGUAAGGUAACGGCUUACCAAGGCAACGAUGCAUAGCCGACCUGAGAGGGUGAUCGGCCACCCUGGAACUUAGACACGGUCCAGACUCCUACGGGAGGCAGCAGUAGGGAAUCUUCCGCAAUGGGCGAAAGCCUGACGGAGCAACGCCGCGUGAGUGAUGAAGGUCUUCGGAUCGUAAAACUCUGUUAUUAGGGAAGAACAUAUGUGUAAGUAACUGUGCACAUCUUGACGGUACCUAAUCAGAAAGCCACGGCUAACUACGUG